ACCACGUUUAAAUAUCACGGGAAGUGAGAUAUGAAGAAAAGAUAGCAAUAUCCAAUCCCAUCUAAAUGCAUCAAUUUUAUAACAGAGCAAUCUUGAAAUAUAAUACAGUUAUUAAAGCAAAAGGGUAUAAAAUCAUAGUAACUUGGACUCAGAAUUGGCACACAAAGCAAUUCUGGAAUAUUAGCUCUCUCAACUUAUAUUAUAGAAGGAUAAUGCUGUUCAUUAGGCCUAUCAGGGGUAGUUUUCUUGCGAAAUCUCUCCUGCUUUUCUCUCUUCAGUUGUAGAUCUCUCUGAGCCUAUUUUUGUUAACAGGACUGCCCCAGGGGAAUCCUCCUUGUGACCAACUUGGCUAGAGCCAUUAGCAGCCUUUCUAAGAACUGUCUUCUUUUUGGCCUGCUUAGCCCAACCNAAGACCCUCUUGAAUAUGUUCAUCAAAUAUUGCUUUCUUGAAUGAACUUCCCAUCUGUGUGACAAUUGCAUACAGUGGUAAGGUACUAUAGCUGCAGACGAACUGGAUGAAAGCCCCUAUGAUGAGUCUUGGAAUGAUGUAACCAACUUCUCCCAUUAUACAGGAGUCAAAACCAUAUUGUACCCAUAUCCAGAAGAAAAAUGCAAGUUCAAAAGAAUUUUGGAAUAGGAUGAUGUGGAUCAAAAUGAGAACAAUCCGAGGUCUGUGGAACCAGAAGUGAUCAUCAGAAGGUUGAACAACCAAGUCCCCCUCAACUGCUACAUGUUUCUCAGCAACCUCAUGGGCUAAUUGGAUAAUUAUAUGCUCCAACUUAGUACCCACUGCUAGUAGAAGAAUGAAGGGGAUGAAUGCGAUCCAGAAAUAAGCAUGCCAACCAGCAACAUUCAGCAGCAAGAAAACAACCACAAAUAUCCAAAGAUACCAACUUAU
rnacentral:misc_RNA from 1 species